CAAGACCUGCGCUUUUGGAGCGGCCGAUGCCUGAUUAGCUUGUUGGUAAGGUAAAAGCUUACCAAGGCUUCGAUCAGUAGCUGGUCUGAGAGGACGGCCAGCCACACUGGGACUGAGACACGGCCCAGACUCCUACGGGAGGCAGCAGUGGGGAAUUUUGGACAAUGGGGGCAACCCUGAUCCAGCCAUGCCGCGUGAGUGAAGAAGGCCUUCGGGUUGUAAAGCUCUUUCAGCCGGAACGAAACGGUUACGGUUAAUACCCGUGAUUACUGACGGUACCGGAAGAAGAAGCACCGGCUAACUACGUGCCAGCAGCCGCGGUAAUACGUAGGGUGCGAGCGUUAAUCGGAAUUACUGGGCGUAAAGCGUGCGCAGGUGGUUUUGUAAGUCAGAUGUGAAAGCCCCGGACUCAACCUGGGAACU
rnacentral:rRNA from 1 species